GCUACUGAUACCACAGGCUCAUCAAAAGCCACAAGACCCCGGGGCCAGAAGGCAAAAAAAGACAAAAUCCAGUCCAACAGAGGGUAGCCAGCAAGAUGAAGCAAAAAAAAGUGUUAAGUACAUUUUCUCUAUUUAAAAUUAUAUGAUGUAUCAACUACACAUUGAUUCUGCCGUCACAGUUAGGUAUUGUCUAUGCUGGUAUAUUGGUAUACUUAUUAUAUAUUGGUAUACUGGUAUACUCUUUCAGAUGAGUGUCCAGAAUGCUGUUGGAGAGUGAGGCAAAACAACUUUGACUACUCCAAGGUUUUGAAAAGAAGAGUGAGAGAGGGAACAGAGGAGGUCCUCAUUUGUUGGGUUCCAUGCAAGACCUGGUAGGUGUACUAAUGUACAGUUUAUUACAUACACAACAUUUUAAACAUUAACAAUGUCAACAGUUACUGAAAUGUUUGAAUAUUUUUUAAUAGUUAUAUUUCAUAAAAUUAUAUACCAUUUUGCUAGCC